rnacentral:rRNA from 1 species
UAAGGAAUAUUGGUCAAUGGACGCAAGUCUGAACCAGCCAUGCCGCGUGAAGGAUGAAUGCCCUCUGGGUUGUAAACUUCUUUUAUCUGGGAAGAAAUGCCUGAUUUUUAUCGGGUUUGACGGUACCAGAGGAAUAAGCACCGGCUAACUCCGUGCCAGCAGCCGCGGUAAUACGGAGGGUGCAAGCGUUAUCCGGAUUCACUGGGUUUAAAGGGUGCGUAGGUGGGUUGGUAAGUCAGUGGUGAAAUCUCCGUGCUUAACAUGGAAACUGCCAUUGAUACUACUGAUCUUGAAUUUUCUGGAGGUAAGCGGAAUAUGUCAUGUAGCGGUGAAAUGCUUAGAUAUGACAUAGAACACCAAUUGCGAAGGCAGCUUACUACAGCGAUAUUGACACUGAGGCACGAAAGCGUGGGGAUCAAACAGG